CGGCCUCGCGGGCAUGCAGUCUCCACUCUGCCCGUCUCUGAUGGGCGUCAUGUGCCCCGUGGGCAGGGCAGAGAUGCUUCCGCCCGCCGAUUGGCCAGUCAUGCUGCCCGGGCCGAUUGUUCCUUGGCUGCAAGUGUUCCUUGGCUGCAAGAGUGUCUCCAUGGAGGCCAUACACAUACAUCUUUGCUUCCACCUGCCUCUGGUCCUGUGCCAAACACAGCUUGAGCUGAACCACAGACCUGCCACGUCUCAAGUAGCAAAAAAUUACAGUGUCCCUCUCAUGUGGAAUAACAAUCGGAAAGUUUCCUUUCAAUAAAUGCUUCUUUUAGCUGGUCAA